GGGGUUGUAGCUCAGUGGUAGAGUGCUUGCCUAGCAUGCGUGAGGCACUGGGUUUGAUCCUCAGCACCA
rnacentral:tRNA from 1 species